rnacentral:rRNA from 1 species
UACGUAGGGUGCGAGCGUUGUCCGGAAUUAUUGGGCGUAAAGAGCUUGUAGGCGGUCUGUCACGUCGGGAGUGAAAACUCAGGGCUUAACCCUGAGCCUGCUUCCGAUACGGGCAGACUAGAGGUAUGCAGGGGAGAACGGAAUUCCUGGUGUAGCGGUGAAAUGCGCAGAUAUCAGGAGGAACACCGGUGGCGAAGGCGGGUCUCUGGGCCGAUACUGACGCUGAGGAGCGAAAGCGUGGGGAGCGAACAG